GAUUAUUUAGUUUAUUUAAAAAUAGGUAUUUUGAAAGUAUCAGAAAAGAAAAUCCAUUCUUAAUAAUCU
rnacentral:tRNA from 1 species